rnacentral:rRNA from 1 species
CAGCAGCCGCGGUAAUACGAAGGGUGCAAGCGUUACUCGGAAUUACUGGGCGUAAAGCGUGCGUAGGUGGUGGUUUAAGUCCGUUGUGAAAGCCCUGGGCUCAACCUGGGAAUUGCAGUGGAUACUGGGUCACUAGAGUGUGGUAGAGGAUAGUGGAAUUUCCGGUGUAGCAGUGAGAUGCGUAGAGAUCGGAAGGAACAUCUGUGGCGAAGGCGACUAUCUGGGCCAACACUGACACUGAGGCACGAAAGCGUGGGGAGCAAACAGGAUUAGAUACCCCCGUAGUCCCUGUCUCUUAUAC